rfam:Brevibacterium mcbrellneri ATCC 49030 contig00025, whole genome shotgun sequence.
GGGGAUGAUCGGUUUCGACGUUGGACAUUGCGUCGGGAGAAGCGGGCCGAGAAUGCAGACUCAACUCGUGAUGCUGUCUGUAAAAAAAUAGGUGCUAAAUCUAACAACCGCACCGAGUUCGCUCUCGCCGCCUAAUUUAGGCCUUAAUCCGCGAGCUGCGACUCCGUCAGCCUAGAGGUGCUUUCCCUCUAGAUCCUGGCGUCGUUUAGAAAGCCACUGCUGCUCACACAUGUUGGGGGUGUGAGUGGGACUUUUACUCAACUCCGUUCGUUGGGAUAGUGUGUUCGUGCGCUCCCCAGGACCUAAGACACAUUUACACGUACUGCGCCCGGAGAAGAAUCGACAAUUUGCCGACGGACGCGGGUUCAAUUCCCGCCAUCUCCACAA